rnacentral:rRNA from 1 species
AGAGUUUGAUCAUGGCUCAGGAUGAACGCUAGCUACAGGCUUAACACAUGCAAGUCGAGGGGUAGCAGGGUCUAGCAAUAGAUCGCUGACGACCGGCGCACGGGUGAGUAACACGUAUCCAACCUUCCGUUUACUCGGGGAUAGCCUUUCGAAAGAAAGAUUAAUACCCGAUAGUAUGCUUUUCCCGCAUGGGAGAAUCAUUAAAGUUUUUCGGUAAUCGAUGGGGAUGCGUUCCAUUAGGCAGUUGGUGAGGUAACGGCUCACCAAACCUUCGAUGGAUAGGGGUUCUGAGAGGAAGGUCCCCCCACAUUGGAACUGAGACACGGUCCAAACUCCUACGGGAGGCAGCAGUGAGGAAUAUUGGUCAAUGGACGAGAGUCUGAACCAGCCAAGUAGCGUGAAGGAUGACUGCCCUAUGGGUUGUAAACUUCUUUUAUAUGGGAAUAAAGGAGCCUACGUGUAGGUUUUUGUAUGUACCAUACGAAUAAGGAUCGGCUAACUCCGUGCCAGCAGCUGC